ensembl:lncRNA
AUUUUUCAUGGUAAAAUCAUCCUAAAAUAUCCAAAAUGUAUUAUCAACCCAUAUAUGUUUUGAACAUGAUGCAUUGAAAAUGAUUAUAUUUAUGCCAUUCCUCACAAUUCUAGACAAAAAAUAUGAUUUUGGUGGUCCUCGGAGCUUUACUUGGGACCUCCAGAUGUCUCACACUUGUAGUACUGAACUAGCUCACCUGAAUCAACUGGUCAAGGGCUUAAUAAUUACUACACAAAUAAUUUCAGGUGUCCUAGCCAGCGAUCAUAAUUGUUCAUCAAGUUAGCGAAUGCAAUUUAUAAUCAUAACAACUUGUAAGGAGUAGUACAUGUGAUGCAGACAUAUACGUUGGCUCUAACCUUUUCAUUUUAGGAAAUUACAAAAUAAUAAUAAUAACUUGCCAUAGUCAGUACCAAGUGGCGCAGGUUCCUGUCUGAAUGUACACUUUCAACGGCACCUACAAUCAGGCAAUGUCCACGGUUACAAAGUUAAAGUGGGAGGCGGGAUCAGAUUGGAACAGUAUUAUAGUAGAACAGCAAUUUCAGGCUGUGGGGUGAGACCAAGCAAAUGAAAGACUUAAUACCAAUCUUUUGCAAAACCUAUUUAGCUUGUGUUCUGCUUUCUGUACUACUUGCAAAGAAAUAUAAGCAAAUUAUGGUAUUUUUUGUUAAGACAGGCCUACCUAGAUGAACACAUACAACACAUUAGCCUCUGGAGACAUUAUAGGGAGCUUGCGCAUAUAUUUUUUUGUCAUCACUUUAAGAAUUAUGAGUUAGCUGUAUUACUCUGAAGGCACUAAAGAUACAUUUCUUUUAUCUAUUGUUUUUUCUGACAGCCAGAUACCAAUUAAUGAAAUGGAACAAACCUAUCUAGUUUUUAGCUUUGUAGUGGUGCAUACAUAAUGUAACAAAGGUGAUGGGUCAUGCUAGGCCCUAAGGGAGUGUUCGUUAUUUAUAAUGAGGGAUACCUGGAAAAUGUCAAAUCUCUCUGAAAGGAAAAUUAAUAGCCCUUGCCCAAAAAGUGAGUGGUAGAGGGGGAUGAUCUAGGCAUCUUUCUGAUACCAGAACAUGAUAUAUUGUUUUUGUAAUAAAGCAUUGCAUGCAUCACAUUUGUGUAGGGGGAUCCAGCAGAGAGCAUAGCAGAUCUUUUGGAAAAUGUGCAUCUGGGAUGUUUAUUUUGCCUAUACAGUCUGAGGAGAAUGUGGCCUAUAUUGAAUGCAUUUUAUUCAAUUUGAUGUAUAGCUACAUGACUGGAGACAUUUUAAUACAGCACACAUUAGUGAAAUGAUAAGCAAACUGAAAAUUUACAAAGAAUGCCAUGUAUUUGAUUCAAUAGCUUAUGAGGAGAAAAAAUACAGUAUUGUCUUAAAUGUUCCAGUUUCAUUGACUGACCCAAUGGCACUGGCAAUGUCUAAAUUACCUUUCUCUUGGUCUAACGUUCUACCUUGCUCUAUUUGGAGAGUGCUAAAAUGGUCAACAGACAGGUCAACAAAUAAGAGUCUAGUGCACUUUGCAACAGCCAUUUGGUUUUUAAUCUGUUUUUCCUACAUUUGAAUAACAAAGACUGGCCUGCUGCUUUGCCUGUUAGCUUUUGGCUAACAACUUUUCGAACUGUAUGCCUUGGCUGUGAAUUGAUUAAACAAAAUUCCCUUCUAGGCAAAACAAAAAGUAAGCUAUUGAUACAUUGUGGCUAAAUUUGACACUUUCUCCAGAAGUAGUAUUCUGAAAUAUUUAAUUUGUUAAAACUGAAGUAGGCC